rnacentral:ncRNA from 1 species
AUACCAUUUGCAGCAGCUGGUGUUGAAGAAGUGUUGUAUUGCACUUCGGAUACUGAAAAGGGAAUCUGGUGUAAAUCCAGAACUGACGCGCAGCGGUGAGAGAGAACGAACGCUCAUAAUGACACUGUUAAGAGGAUCUUAACGGGAAGUCGAGUUACUAGGUCAAAGUAAGAUGCUCUUGAGUCCGAAUACCUGCCAGCAGCCAAAUAUAGCCA